AAAAUCCAUCAAAUCAAUGCUGGCGACGGGGAACUUUUUUGAUGUCUCUGGCUAUCUGCUCGCUGAAAUCUUGUCUGGGGCAAAACUGCUACUGUAUAUGAACUCGAUUUGCCCUCCACUUCUCGGAUUUUGUAGGUGCAGAUUCGAAAUGUGUGCUGUUGAUGUUUGAAUGGGGUACUGUCGAAGGCGAUUCGUGCAAAUAUUCCAACGUAUGAUUGGUUUAUUGGGAUAUUGGAGGUUGAAGGGAGAAUGUUCGGCGUAUCGCCUCAACGAUAAAAUGGAAAAAUGUCUUGUACUUGGCUGGUUUUCCGGUGGAGAGUUAUACGACGUGGGUUUUAGUCGUCUUAUUUGGGUGACUCAAAUCCGUCACUCUCAGACACUGACGGUCUCAUUAUGACUUCCUCGCCAAAGUCCCCUGAGUUUGCAGACCUUAUUGAUCCAUCCUUAUCCGUCUUAAUGUAUUGCUGCACUAUGAGCACUGAAAAUGAAGACUCAAAUUCUGAUGUCACCAAAAGGUCGCCGAUCGGCCCUAGCUCCGGGCAGUCACACCAGUCGGCUAGCCCUGAUGUCAGUGGUGAAACCAUGCCUCUUCCUCUCCCUACCAGUCUUGAAAUUGCCCAGGUAAUCAUCAUCCAGCAGCUUCUCGCUUUCAUGGUCAAUUGGGAGACUUAAAUGGUCCUUAUCAAUUGAUUCCACAAGAUCCAGUUUCUCUGCAUCUGUGCUUGGGAUGAAUCUCACCACUGUUA